rnacentral:pre_miRNA from 1 species
UAUAAGGGAUUUUGAGUUUUUGCUUGUAAUGUUUGACCACUCGUCUUAUUCAAUUUUUUUUUAAAAUUAUUAUUUAUUUUAUUUGUGACUUACUUUAUUAUCUAUAGUACUUUAAGCACAACUUUUUGUUUUUUAUAUUUGCAAAAAAAAAUUGAAUAAGACGAAUGGUCAAACGUUGCAAGCAAAAACUCAAAAUCCCUUAUA